CACGAACGAUCGAAUCGGUCCUGAAAAGAGCUCCGAAAAUGAGAUUCAAAGAACACUUGAAGUACGCAGAAAUCGUGCUCUGCUGUAUUCAUUGGUGAUAAGGAAAACUACCCAAAAUCGAUCCUCUGGUAAACGGCUGAAUCAAUCGUCUUGAAAGUAAAAUUGACUAGGUAAAAUCUGAGAUUGAAGAGGUUAAGAGGGGGUCAUCCCAGUUUAAAGAUGAAAUCUUGGAAGCAGUCAGAGAUAGAAAUUUUGAUGACCCUGAAGAAAAUCUAAACUAGCUUUUCCCCACCAUUCUGACUUCUGAAGAGGAAAUGGAACAGUUUGAAAAAACACCAAAAAAAGCCGUAUAGAAAGUCAAUGGUUACUGAGCUGGCUUCAGUGUAUGCAAAUAAUGAUGAGAAAACAGUGAUCCUCUGAUGGGUCAUGAGACACCUCAUGUCAAAAGAAAUUGAUGGGGGAGUAUUCAUUCGUUGAAGGGAUCAAGAAGAAAGAAAAAAGAAGUCUCCUUGAUAAUAGACUACAUGGAUUAAUUCGUGUGUUGCCAUAAGAUAUCUGCCCAAACAAGAUAAGGAAGCAGACAUCAUGAUAGAUGACACUAUUGCGGCCGUCCUCAAAUUUGCACCACAUGGGGAAGGAGGGGAGAAGUUUAAGCGAAGGUCAAAACCAAAGGAGUUCGAGGCCUCUCCAUCCGCCUCUUUUCUGACACCUAAAAUGCUGCAUAACCCCAUAAACUUUUUUUUACAUCCUUGUGACUUGUGCUCCCUCUUCAUGAAUUCUUGUGUAAAUUGAUAAGUAUCUGUACUACUAUACACUGCGUUUUAUAAGUUAAGUCAUUUUCUUUAAUUGGUUACAGUACAGUAUAGUGUCCCCAUAUUUAUAUUUGUCCAACGCCUGUGGAAUAGUUAACUGAGAUAUUGAAAAAUUAUGUAUUAUCCUUGUGGACAGAAUUAUGAGUAAAUUUGUUGAUUAUAUAGUUUAACAUCAUGGGUAUUUCAAUUAAUUCUUGGUCUUCCUGCCCUCGGAGUGGGAGUAAGGCAUCAUAGAUAAUUAGUGAUUUUUAGGCUAAGGUGUGCAAUAAUAAAAAGGUUCUACAUGCCAUAUUCAUGUACAAAUUGUGUAAUUAUGAUAUCUUAGUUAUAUUUCCAUUUCUUUUUAUGGAAAAACAUUUUAAAUAGCUUAUGUUCUGAACUGUGUAGAGUGAUUCAUCAUAUGUUCUUCCACAUGUCCAUCCCUUAAUCUCAGAUACUGUUCCUAACCUAUUCAUAACUCUUUAGGUUAAACUAUCUCCCUUCACAUGUUCCCAAGAACUUAAGCUCAAUCACAUUUGUCAACUUUUUACCCUUCCCGUACAGUCAAACAGUCACUGGCAUUCCAAACCUUUCUAUUCUUAACUUGUUUAUCUUGACACUUUGAAGCUCCCAAAGCUUUUCUGCUCUCCAUGGAAUAUCGAUCACCUCCUUCAAAAAUAUCAGAAACUAUUUGAAACCUACAACCCAUAUUUUCCUUACUAUACUUAUUAUUUACUCCUAUCAACAGUCCUCCUCUAUUUGUUUACACAAUACACAUUCAAACUUUUCACCAGUGCCUUCACCCUUUCCUUAAAUGUCCCACAGUAAUACAAUUGAAACUCGGACUAAAGCUAUUAAAAAUAAAGCACUUGUCUCUUGUCUAAUCCCCGUCUUUCUGUGGGGCUAAGUGAGCCUGGUGGCUGGUAGGCCUGGUACACGCAUGUAGCGUUCUUGGAAGUCCCUCUACCUGCCAUGUAGUUGCCACUCGCUGUUUACUUUUAUACUUUGUAGAAUAAAAUCAGGUAGAACAAUUUA